rnacentral:rRNA from 1 species
UACGGGGGGGGCAAGCGUUGUUCGGAAUUACUGGGCGUAAAGGGCUCGUAGGCGGCCAACUAAGUCAGACGUGAAAUCCCUCGGCUUAACCGGGGAACUGCGUCUGAUACUGGAUGGCUUGAGGUUGGGAGAGGGAUGCGGAAUUCCAGGUGUAGCGGUGAAAUGCGUAGAUAUCUGGAGGAACACCAGAGGCGAAGGCGGCGACCUGGACAGGUACUGACACUCAACUACGAAAGCGUGGGGAGCAAACAGG